GUACUGGCUGUGAUGUUCAAAAUCUACCUAUUUUAUGAGAGAAUUUACUUCUCUUGUGAUUAGAAAACCAAUGGAUCCUUCUGAGCCUACUC
rnacentral:snoRNA from 1 species